AUGUGCAGGUUUUGAAAAUGUACAAUAUGUAUAAUUUUUAAAAUGUUUUAUUAUUUUGAAAAUAAUGUUGUAAUUCAUGCCAGGGACUGACAAAAGACUUGAGACAGGAUGGUUACUCUUGUCAGCUAAGGUCACAUUG